rnacentral:rRNA from 1 species
GGAAUGAGACACGGCCCAGAUUCUUACGGGAGGGAGCAGUGCGGAAUAUUGGACAAUGGGGGAACCCUGAUCCAGCCAUGCCGCGUGUGUGAAGAAGGCUUUAUGGUUGUAAAGCACUUUAAGCGAGGAGGAGGCUACUUUAGUUAAUACCUAGAGAUAGUGGACGUUACUCGCAGAAUAAGCACCGGCUAACUCUGUGCCAGCAGCCGCGGUAAUACAGAGGGUGCGAGCGUUAAUUGGAUUUACUGGGCGUAAAGCGUGCGUAGGCGGCUUAUUAAGUCGGAUGUGAAAUCCCCGAGCUUAACUUGGGAAUUGCCUUCGAUACUGGUGAGCUAGAGUAUGGGAGAGGAUGGUAGAAUUCCAGGUGCAGCGGUGAAAUGCGUAGAGAUCUGGAGGAAUACCGAUGGCGAAGGCAGCCAUCUGGCCUAAUACUGACGCUGAGGUACGAAAGCAUGGGGAGCAAACAGGAUUAGAUACCCUGGUAGUCCAUGCCGUAAACGAUGUCUACUAGCCGUUGGGGCCUUUGAGGCUUUAGUGGCGCAGCUAACGCGAUAAGUAGACCGCCUGGGGAGUACGGUCGCAAGACUAAAACUCAAAUGAAUUGACGGGGGCCCGCACAAGCGGUGGAGCAUGUGGUUUAAUUCGAUGCAACGCGAAGAACCUUACCUGGCCUUGACAUACUAGAAACUUUCCAGAGAUGGAUUGGUGCCUUCGGGAAUCUAGAUACAGGUGCUGCAUGGCUGUCGUCAGCUCGUGUCGUGAGAUGUUGGGUUAAGUCCCGCAACGAGCGCAACCCUUUUCCUUACUUGCCAGCAUUUCGGAUGGGAACUUUAAGGAUACUGCCAGUGACAAACUGGAGGAAGGCGGGGACGACGUCAAGUCAUCAUGGCCCUUACGGCCAGGGCUACACACGUGCUACAAUGGUCGGUACAAAGGGUUGCUACACAGCGAUGUGAUGCUAAUCUCAAAAAGCCGAUCGUAGUCCGGAUUGGAGUCUGCAACUCGACUCCAUGAAGUCGGAAUCGCU